rnacentral:rRNA from 1 species
UAGGGAAUCUUCGGCAAUGGGGGGAACCCUGACCGAGCAACGCCGCGUGAGUGAAGAAGGUUUUCGGAUCGUAAAGCUCUGUUGUUAAGGAAGAACGAGUGUGAGAAUGGAAAGUUCAUGCUGUUACGGUACUUAACCAGAAAGGGACGGCUAACUACGUGCCAGCAGCCGCGGUAAUACGUAGGUCCCGAGCGUUGUCCGGAUUUAUUGGGCGUAAAGCGAGCGCAGGCGGUUAGAAAAGUCUGAAGUGAAAGGCAGUGGCUCAACCAUUGUAGGCUUUGGAAACUGUUUAACUUGAGUGCAGAAGGGGAGAGUAGAAUUCCAUGUGUAGCGGUGAAAUGCGUAGAUAUUGGGAGGAACACCAGUAGCGAAGGCGGCUUUCUGGACUGCAACUGACACUGAGGCACGAAAGCGUGGGUAGCAAACAGG